AAUUAAAGGUGAAUAUCUGAGAAAUACUGAUUCUUUAAGUGGGGAAAUGUCCUGUGUUACUUAUGAAUACAUAGAGGGCCUCACCAUAUUUUGUUCAAGUUAUUACUUGAGAAACGGUAUUUUCUAACAGAGAAUGAUAGCCGAAUAUGUGGCCUCCAAUAAAUAGAUGAGGGACAUCAUUGUGGACUGUUUAGUGAGGUAUAAUUAUCAUGUGAAUAGCAGUGAACUGAUAACUAAUGAUCAGGUAUUUAGGAGUCAAAAUUACAAUGUCUGGAUAGUGUAAAAUAAGGUUCUAAAAGUGAAAUGUCAAAGAGCUAAUGCCUAGGGCUGGGUUUAGUGACAUCACAAUGUAAUCAUUUCCUGGAGGGUUCCUUCUCCAUUCCUCAGGGGCCACAUCUUCUCAUUUGACAGAAAAAGCUGGACAUUGAGUUGUAAACUCUCUCUGAGAGAAGCAGAAACUGAGGCUCACUGUAAGCAGGCAAGAGAGACUGCCUUGGGAAGUUGAUUCUUCACCUGCACACAGAAUAUCUGCACUUAUUUUCUGUGUUGCAAUGUUCUCCUAGGAAGUACUUGGGGAUCCAUUGAUAAGAACACUGAAACACAGAAGGUUAAAGAACUUCUCUAAUAUCCAGACCAUCUGUUUCUACUGCUCUGCUAAGCUGCUGUAUGAUAAGCCAUAGUCAUUCUGGUGUUAUCCUCCAAUGGUGAUGAGGUAAUUAACAAAACGCAUGAUACAAACUGUAUAUUCAUGCCAUGUUUACAUUCAACCCUCUUGCUCACUUUAGAAUUGGUACCUGAAAUGUAUUCUGAAUCUACCUGAUUCUCACCAAUUCUUCUUCCAACUUGCUAGACUAUUCCAGAUCAUCUCUUGACUGAAAUUCUGUAGGAACUUCUAACUAGUUGCCCUGACUCUCCUCUUACUCUUUUGCAAUGUAUUUUCCACAUAGCAGCCUGAGUCAUCUUUGGGAAAAUGUAAAUCUGAUCAUGUUCCUUCCCUAUUGGAAACCGUAGUGCUUUCUUUCUUAUUUUAAAUAACAUGCAAACUCUUUAUUUCAGCCUGUAGGGCCUCACAUGACCUGAUUCUUGCCUACCACUUUGAUUCCAUCAAGAACCACUCUCCACUUCCCAAGUGCCAGUAUAUAGUUUUCUUCCUCCUCAGAUAACAUCCCUGGCUGUUUCCUGCCUUAGGGUCCUUAUAAUACUGACUCAUUAUAGUACUCAUAGUCCGAACAACCCCCAAUUGAAUGUAAUUCUUAGCAUUUACACUAUUUGACAUUUUUUGCUUUGUUUAUUUAUUUAUUUAUUUGUUUAUUUAUUUAUUUAUUUAUUUAUUUAUUUAUUUAUUUAUUGUCUCUCUAGUACAUUGAAGCUUUAAGGGAGGAGGGACAUUGUCUGCUUGAUCAGUGUUAACCUUCUUGUUUCCAUUGUCUAGAAUACCACCCACAUGUAGUAGGCACUGUGUCAAUAUCUGUUGAACAUGUGAAUGAAUCUGUAAAUGAAUACAUAAAAUUCAGAGACUAGAUACAACCAUAUGAUCUCAUUUGUUCCUUAUGAAGAAAAAAUCCAUUAUUAUUCAUAUUCAGAGUUUGAGGCUUAAUAUGAACACAGAAUUACUAAACAUUGUAGAUAAGCACAAACAUUUCUAAAUGGUUUAAAAUGGCCAAUGAUAAUUCUAUUUCUAUUCUCCUAGGCAUGUGUUAACUAUUUUAAAUGCAAAAUGGUUAAAAAUGCCAAGAAACGUGAAUGAGUUGUCUGUGUGGUACACAUGUUGAAAAAGAGAGAGAGAACGAAGGACUUUUUGUUUAGUGAGAGAUAAUAAAACGUACUUUUCUUUGUACUUUUGAAGUAAUUUGAAGACUUUACGAGGGAAAUGUUGAAUAUAUAUGACAUAAAGCUUUAAACCAACUUUAAUAACCAGACUCUUAAAUCGUGCCUUCAUUUCCACUGUGUACAUAACUGUAUAUACUUUUUAAUAUACAUUUUUGGUCAUUCUCGGGAAAAAUGGUUAGUCUAUGAUGAUAAUAGAUCAGUCAGGAUAUAAUCAUUUACACAUUUUCAAUGUGCUCAGCCCUGAGCACACACAACACACUCAACACACAAUUAUUCUCGAAUGCCCCCUGUGUGCCAAACAGUGUGGAAAAUUCAGAGAAAUUAAAAAUGUAUUCCAUGUCCCCAGUGAGCUUCUGGUAUGAAACAGAUGAGAAGCAUAAUCUUUAUAAGCAAAGUAGCAAAUUAUAUAAAACAAGAUGCAAUUAAAAUUUCAAUAGUAGUUAAUGGCAGAAGUACAAGGAGACAAAUACAGGGUUCAUAGGAAACAUUAUUAAAACAACAAAAGGAAUGGUAUGACCCAAAGAAAAAGAAAGGAAAUGAAUUCACCUCAUCCAGGUAAAUCAUGUGGGGAACUCCAAACUAGAAAACAAGUAUGCAUUUGUCUGUGUGUGUGUGUGUGUGUGUGUGUGUGUGUACAUGUGUGUGUGUGCAUGUGUGUUAAGUACUUUGCCACCAUGCACUAUGCAGGUAGGAAACAGAAAAUCCAUAUAACUGAUUACUGUGUCCUAAUUCUCUAUUUAACUGUUUUUUUUUCCAUUUUGGUUUAUACAAUGUAGAUCUCACCUCACAUAUACAAGUUACCUCCUAGAAAUAAGGGCACGUAAGCUUAAUCAUGUGGAGGUGAAUUUUCAAUACUGUGACGAAGUAACUUAGAUCUUUCCCCAACUCCACAGCUGCAACAUCUCAUGCCAAUUCUUAGAAGUUCUGAUUUUCAUAAGCAAAGGAUUACUAUUAGUUUCUCCCUACCACCCACCAUAUCGAUCGCCAUCCAAUUCACAGAAGGGAAGAAAUCAUUCUUUAUUCAGGAAAUGGAAAAAGUUUGUUCAUUUCAUAUAAUGGCCAAUUUAAGUUAGAAAUCUUAUCCAUUUCCUACUUUAGUUACCUGUUUCACAAGCUCAGCAUUUCCCAAGAUGCCUAUUUUAUGAAGCCAGCAAGGAUAUUCAGAGAAAUUUUCCAUCACAUAUUUCAUAUCCUAGGAUUACCAAGCUCAUCAGAAAGACAAUACUGGAUUGAUUCCAAUUAUCAGGGAAAAUGAUAGUCAUGUAAAAGAUGAGUAGACACUUGAGGAUCACUUAUCAAUGUCUAAUUCAAAUUAUUGAACAUUGAUUCCAGGAAAUAAGAUAUUUAAAAUACAUAUACAUUGCUAGAUGAAUAAAAGAAACUAGACAGAUUAAAAAAUAACAAUGAGAACAAAACAAAUAGAUCUUAAUAAAUAUUUUUAAUUUAUACUAGUUAAACUUAUGUAUCUGUUAUAGCAAUGAUACUAUUGCUUGAAAGUUUACUGGAAUCACUUUUAUAAGACUGUAUUUGGAGUAGUUUAGAAAAUAAAGACAGAGGUCCUGUUUUUUUAAUCAAACCGUAUUUUU